GACGAACGCUGGCGGCGUGCUUAACACAUGCAAGUCGAACGCUGAAGCUUGGUGCUUGCACUGGGUGGAUGAGUGGCGAACGGGUGAGUAAUAAGUGAGUAACCUGCCCUUGACUCUGGGAUAAGCCUGGGAAACUGGGUCUAAUACUGGAUACGACAUGUCACCGCAGGGUGGUGUGUGGAAAGGGUUUUACUGGUGUUGGAUGGGCUCACGGCCUAUCAGCUUGUUGGUGGGGUAAUGGCUCACCAAGGCGACGACGGGUAGCCGGCCUGAGAGGGUGACCGGCCACACUGGGCCUGAGGCACGGCCCAGACUCCUACGGGAGGCAGCAGUGGGGAGUAUUGCACAAUGGGCGGAAGCCUGAUGCAGCGGCGCCGCGUGAGGGAUGACGGCCUUCGGGUUGUAAACCUCUUUCAGCACGGAAGAAGCGAGAGUGACGGUACGUGCAGAAGAAGCACCGGCUAACUACGUG
rnacentral:rRNA from 1 species